rnacentral:rRNA from 1 species
UACAGAGGUCUCAAGCGUUGUUCGGAUUCAUUGGGCGUAAAGGGUGCGUAGGCGGCAGUGCAAGUCAGGUGUGAAAUCCCGGGGCUCAACCCCGGAACUGCACUUGAUACUGCUCUGCUAGAGUACUGGAGAGGAGACUGGAAUUCACGGUGUAGCAGUGAAAUGCGUAGAUAUCGUGAGGAAGACCAGUGGCGAAGGCGAGUCUCUGGACAGUUACUGACGCUGAGGCACGAAGGCCAGGGGAGCAAACGGG